rnacentral:rRNA from 1 species
CUACGGGCUGCACCGGUAAGGAAUAUUGCGCAAUGGAGGCAACUCUGACGCAGCCAUGCCGCGUGCAGGAAGAAGGCCUUAUGGGUCGUAAACUGCUUUUAUUUAGGAAUAAACCCCCGAACGUGUUCGGGGCUGAAGGUACUAAACGAAUAAGCACCGGCUAACUCCGUGCCAGCAGCCGCGGUAAUACGGAGGGUGCAAGCGUUAUCCGGAUUUAUUGGGUUUAAAGGGUGCGCAGGCGGGCUAUUAAGUCAGUGGUGAAAUCCCGGGGCUCAACCCCGGAACUGCCAUUGAUACUGAUAGUCUUGAGUUUGGUUGAAGUGGGCGGAAUGUAGCAUGUAGCGGUGAAAUGCAUAGAUAUGCUACAGAACACCAAUCGCGAAGGCAGCUCACUAAGCCAAAACUGACGCUCAUGCACGAAAGCGUGGGGAUCAAACAGGAUUAGAUACCCCGGUAGUC